rnacentral:rRNA from 1 species
AUUGAACGCUGGCGGCAUGCCUUACACAUGCAAGUCGAACGGCAGCACGGGUGCUUGCACCCGGUGGCGAGUGGCGAACGGGUGAGUAAUACAUCGGAACGUACCUUAUCGUGGGGGAUAACGCAGCGAAAGCUGUGCUAAUACCGCAUACGCCCUGAGGGGGAAAGCGGGGGAUCGCAAGACCUCGCGCGAUUAGAGCGGCCGAUGCCUGAUUAGCUAGUUGGUGGGGUAAAAGCCCACCAAGGCGACGAUCAGUAGCUGGUCUGAGAGGACGAUGAGCCACACUGGGACGGAGACACGGCCCAGACUCCUACGGGAGGCAGCAGUGGGGAAUUUUGGACAAUGGGGGCAACCCUGAUCCAGCAAUGCCGCGUGAGUGAAGAAGGCCUUCGGGUUGUAAAGCUCUUUUGUCAGGGAAGAAACACCGGCUCUAACACAGUCCGGGAAUGACGGUACCUGAAGAAUAAGCACCGGCUAACUACGUGCCUGCAGCCGCCGCAG